rnacentral:rRNA from 1 species
UACGAAGGGGGCUAGCGUUGCUCGGAAUGACUGGGCGUAAAGGGCGCGUAGGCGGUUCGUACAGUCAGACGUGAAAUUCCCGGGCUCAACCUGGGGGCUGCGUUUGAUACGUGCGGGCUUGAGUUCGGAAGAGGGUCGUGGAAUUCCCAGUGUAGAGGUGAAAUUCGUAGAUAUUGGGAAGAACACCGGUGGCGAAGGCGGCGACCUGGUCCGAUACUGACGCUGAGGCGCGAAAGCGUGGGGAGCAAACGGG